rnacentral:lncRNA from 1 species
GAUUAUGAUGUCACAGAAAGAUAGAAACCAUCUUGUCUUCAACAGCCUCAUCAACUCCUGGGAAGAUUGCUUAGGGCAAAAUUCCUUCAGGAAGAAGCCAAAGGGAAGAAUCAGUGAAACAAUGUGUGAUUAGCCUGUUUGAUUCAAUACUAUUGACUGUGACUAAAUCAAUGUAGAAACUCAAAGGACUAAUACUACAGUGAAAUUGUACUAUCGCGCUCUUUGUUGGAGAAGAUGAGACUGG